GGUAGAUUCGCUAUUAGAUUUAAUGGCAACUAUCCAAUUUGAUCAAUUUGAUUGAGCUUAACCUCCCCAGUUUUUUUCCAGCUGAGAUGGAAGUGCUAAAGGACAAGGUAAUGACUUUUCAAUUAACCAUGGAAUUUCUGAAGAAUGAGACACAGCAGUUCUGCAAAAAUGAUUCCAAAAUCAGAUAUGAACUGAUUGAGAGUCCAUAUCAGAACUGAAAUGAAGUUUAGAGCUCAUCCACUAAUUUACUACUCUCAUUCUAUGAAAAAGUAAAUUGAGGCUCAGAAAGGGGGAGGUCAUGAAUUAAUCUCACAGAUAGGUAGUUAUAGAGCCAGCAUAAAUCCAGCCCAAUGCAGGGCUUUUUUAAAUGAACUCUACACUCCUGCUUCUGUAUUCCGUGCCAUUGCAAAACUCCCAAAGCAAAACAAAGAUUUUUAAAAGUCUAUGUGAUCAAAGACAUUAUUUAUCUGUUUCCAUAAAGGCAGCUUUGAAUAAGACUGUAAUAGAAUCACUUUUUCCCUAGGUUUUCAGGAACUGGUAUAAAAUAACCAACUAAAGUUGUAUUGAACAGAACCAUCUCUAAUAAUUAAAUGUCUGAUUGAAAGAAUUUAGAAAGUGCAAUUCGUAAUAGAUCCCUUUUUCAUUUAAAAAGUAUAUUUUAUGAUAUUUCCUUAUCAUUUUAUAAGCAUCUAAUCUAGCAUUAUUUUUUCUCCUUUUUUCAAGAAAGACGGAUGGGUGCUUUUGACAAUAAUUUUGGGGGUACUGGUGAUGGCAAGAUUUGUAAUGAUUAGCCAUCAUCUACGAUUUGGGAGGCACUUCAUUUCAUAUUCAUCCCCUCUCCAAGUAGUUUUUCUUAAGCUUUGAAAAUAUUUAUUAUUAUAUGAUUCUUGUGCUAUCUUUUUUCAUCAUUUACCUCAAAUUCUCCCUGAAGAAAUUCUUGAUAAUCAUUUUUAACAUUUAAGUGGUUCUGUGACUCUACUUUAAUAUAUAUUAUAUACUUUCAGUGAGGUGGCAUAAUAAAUAGAGUGCUAGGUCUAGAAGAUAGGAAAACUCCUCUUAGCUGUGUAACCCUUGGCAAGUCAAUUAGUUCCAUUUGUUUCACUUCCUCAUCUGUAAAAUGAAUUGAAGAAGGAAUUGGCAAACCCAUCCAGUGUCUCUGUCAAGAAAACUCCAAACUUUACUUUCAAUCAAUCAACUAAUCAAUCAGCAAGAAUAUAGACUUGUUGUCUACUAUAUGCUACAACUCUGUUAGAUGUUAGGGAUACAGAUACAGAAAGUGAAAUUAUCUUUACUUGCAAGUUAAUGCAAAUUCUAAUGGAAAAGGGAAUAAAUACAUAUUUAUACAUGAAUGAGAAAAUGAAGACAAAGUGGUUAGUAGUAGUUUGAAAGGGAAAGUGAUGGUAUUUGAAGGAAUAAGAAAGUCUUUCUGUAGGAAACAAUGCUUGAGCUGAGACUUGAAGGGUAAGAGGGAAUCUCUGAGGCAAAGGUGAAAAGGGACUGAAUUCUAAGUAUUAUGAACACAUGGGGCAAAAGUAGAGAUGGAACAUGAGUUGCUGUAUAUGAAGAGAAAUAAAAAAGCCAAUUUGGCUGUUUUUCACUGAAUGAUGGAAGAAAAGCAGAGGAAAAAUGUGCAACAAGACUAGAAGGAUAGGUUGGGCAAUGUCAUGAUUAAGUUUAAAAACUUAACAGAAAAGUUUACAUUUGAUUUUAGAAGCAAUAGGGAGCCACAGUUCAUAGAAUCAAAGUGUAUAUGGUCAGAUCUUUAGAUUAAUCUUUAAGGAAAAUUAUUUUUGUCAGAAAUCUGAACGAUGGACUGAAUUGAAUCCAAAAGACCAUUAGGGAUGUAAUCAUAAGGAUCUAGGUGAGAAGAUGUUGAAGUUCUAGUACAAUAUGGCAGAUCUGUGGGUAAAGAAAAAGGAUCAGAUUUGAGAAAUGUUGUGGAGGUGGAAAUAGUCAGAUUUGGAAACCAAUUAAACAUGUAGAGUUAAGGAGAAUAAAGGGUCAAGAAUACAGCCAAGGUUACACAUGACUUAAAGAUCGAAAGAAUAGUGUUCUUUGAGAUAAAUAGGAAGGUUUGAAAGACAAGUCAAAUUUGGGCAAAAGAUAAAUAAGUUGUGAUUUCCUCAUGUUGAGUCUGAGAUGGACGACCAACUUGACAUGUGCAAUAGGUAAUGUGAGACUGAGGCUUGGCAAAGAAGGGCAUUGCAUAUAUAGAUUUAGGGAUCAGCAGCAGAGAGAUAAGUGCACCUAUGAAAGCUAUAUGGUCAGCAAGAGAAAUAAAAAGGAGAUGUAGAGAGAAAAAAAGAGGAAGGAAAUGAGAAUAGAGUCCUUCAGGGAGAGAACUUGAUGUGUAGGAUAAAGCUGAUGGGUGAUCAGUUGGUGGGAGAAUGGAGGAGAGUAAUGUCAUGGAAAUCAAGAAGGGUCACAUAAAAAGAGAGAACAAGAAGGAUGCUCAACCCCUUUGAAGACACUUUACAACUGGUUCUGGAUAAAUUAGUUAAUGAAUUAAAAAAUGAUUGCUUUAAAUUAGUAAUAGUGAAAAACAAUAUUCUUCAUUCAGAACACUGGUUAAUGACAGUUUUAAAGGCCAUGGGAAACUAGACAAAAAGUACAGGAAGGAAAAAGAAAGAAAGGAAAUCCAAAGUAUAUGUAUAUAUGUCAAAGUAUAUGAAAUAAUGCAGGACAUGGCGGCAAAUCCAUACUUACCACAGUUAGGUUUAUAACAUAUUCCUGCUUAUUUCCUCUUAACCAGUAAAACACUUUCCCAUCUUUGUGCACAUCAUUCCCUCCAGAAGGAAUAUUCUCUUUAAGCCUUACAAUUAAGUUUUUCCAUCUCAGUUUUUCCUGAGAAAUCUUCCCUAUCCUUCGAGGCCUAAUUUAAAUAUCUCCUCUUCCAUUAACCUUCCUUAAUUCCCUGACCUGGAAGGGCUUAUUCCCUGUUUUUGAUCUCCUAUUGAUUUAUAAUCCUUUUAUGAAUUAAUUAUGAAGCAUAUAAAUGAUGUGGUGAGGAGAGAUCCAGGCCUGGAAUCAGGAAAAUCUGAAUUCAAAUUCAAGACAUUUACUGGCAAUGUGACUCAAAUUAAGUCACUUAAAUCCUGUCAGAUUUAGUUUCUUCAAGUGUAAAAAUGAAGAUAAUAAGAGCUUCUAUCUCAACACAUUGCUGUCUGGAUGAAAAUGAGAUAACACAAAUCUCUAUAAAGUGUUUAUCAUAGUACCUAACACAUAAAAGACAUUUAAUAAAAACUUGUUCCCUUGUACUUUCUCCCAAUGUGAUAUCUAUUUAAAAAUAUCUUAUUCCCUGGACUAUAACAUGCCCAAGGAUUGCAAAGAAUAACAGAGUGUAUACUAGAGACACUUAAUACAUACUUUUUGAGGGGAUGACUAAUUGAAAUUAAGAGACUUCUUGCCUGGACCACCCAUUUUUUUUUAUUUAAUAGCCUUUUAUUUACAGGAUAUAUGCAUGGGUAACUUUACAUCAUUAACAAUUGCCAAACCUCUUGUUCCAAUUUUUCACCUCUUACCCCCCACCCCCUCCCCCAGAUGACAGGAUGACCAGUAGAUGUUAAGUACAUUAAAAUAUAAAUUAGAUACACAAUAAGUAUACAUGACCAAAACGUUAUUUUGCUGUACAAAAAGAAUCAGACUCUGAAAUAUUGUACAAUUAGCUUGUGAAGGAAAUCAAAACUGCAGGUGGGCAUAAAUAUAGGAAUUGGGAAUUCAAUGUAAUGGUUUUUAGUCAUCUCCCAGAGUUCUUUCUCUGGGCAUAGCUGGUUCAGUUCAUUACUGCUCCACUGGAAAUGAUUUGGUUGAUCUCGUUGCUGAGGAUGGCCAGUUCCAUCAGAACUGGUCAUCAUAUAGUAUUGUUGUUGACGUAUAUAAUGAUCUCCUGGUCCUGCUCAUUUCACUCAGCAUCAGUUCGUGUAAGUCUCUCCAGGCCUUUCUGAAAUCAUCCUGUUGGUCAUUUCUUACAGAACAGUAAUAUUGCAUAAUAUUCAUAUACCACAAUUUAUUCAGCCAUUCUCCAACUGAUGGACAUCCAUUCAGUUUCCAGUUUCUAGCCACUACAAAGAGGGCUGCCACAAACAUUCGUGCACAUACAGGUCCCUUUCCCUUCUUUAUAAUCUCUUUGGGGUAUAAUCCCAGUAGUAACACUGCUGGAUCAAAGGGUAUGCACAGUUUGAUAACUUUUUGAGCAUAGUUCCAAACUACUCUCCAGAAUGGUUGGAUUCGUUCACAACUCCACCAACAAUGCAUCAAUGUCCCAGUUUUCCCGCAUCCCCUCCAACAAUCAUCAUUAUUUCUUCCUGUCAUCUUAGCCAAUCUGACAGGUGUGUAGUGGUAUCUUAGAGUUGUCUUAAUUUGCAUUUCUCUGAUUAAUAAUGACUUGGAGCAUCUUUUCAAAUGACUAGAAAUAGUUUUAAUUUCUUCAUCUGAGAAUUGUCUGUUCAUAUCCUUUGACCAUUUUUCAAUUGGAGAAUGGCUUGAUUUUUUUAUAAAUUAGAGUUAAUUCUUUAUAUAUUUUGGAAAUGAGGCCUUUAUCAGAACCUUUGACUGUAAAAAUAUUUUCCUAGUUUAUUGCUUCCCUUCUAAUCUUGUCUGCAUUAGUUUUGUUUGUACAAAAACUUUUUAGUUCGGUAUAAUCAAAAUUUUCUAUUUUGUGAUCAGUAAUGAUCUCUAGUUCUUCUUUGGUCAUAAAGACCUUCCCCUUCCACAGGUCUGAGAGGUAAACUAUCCUGUGUUCCUCUAAUUUAUUAAUAAUUUUAUUCUUUAUGCCUAGGUCAUGAACCCAUUUUGACCUUAUCUUGGUGUACGGCGUUAAGUGUGGAUCAAUGCCUAGUUUCUGCCAUAUUAAUUUCAAUUUUCCCAGCAAUUUUUAUCAAACAGCAAGUUCUUAUCCCAAAAGCUGGGGUCUUUGGGUUUGUCAAAGACUAGGUUGCUAUAUUUGUUGACUGUUUUAUCCCUUGAACCUAAUCUAUUCCUUAGCCAAUACCAAAUAGUUUUGGUAACUGCUGCUCUAUAAUUUUAGAUCUGGUACAGCUAAGCCACCUUCAUUUGAUUUUUUUUUCAUUAAUUCCCUUGAAAUUCUUGACCUUUUGUUUUUCCAUAUGAACUUUGUUGUUAUUUUUUCUAGGUCAUUAAAAUAGUUUUUUGGGACUCUGAUUGGUAUAGCGCUAAAUAAAUAGAUUAGUUUAGGUAAUAUUGUCAUCUUUAUUAUAUUUGCUCGCCCUAUCCAAGAGCAUUUAAUAUUUUUCCAAUUGGUUAGAUCAGACUUAAUUUGUGUUAAAAGUGGUCUGUAAUUUUGCUCAUAAAGUUUCUGAUUUUCCCUUGGCAGAUAGAUUCCUAAAUAUUUUAUAUUAUCAGUAGUUACUUUAAAUGGAAUUUCUCUUUGUAACUCUGACUGUUGGAUUUUGUUAGUGAUAUAUAAGAAUGCUGAUGACUUAUGUGGGUUUAUUUUAUAACCAGCAACUUUGCUAAAGUUGUGGAUUAUUUCUAAUAACUUUUUAGCAGAAUCUCUGGGGUUCUCUAAGUAUACCAUCAUGUCAUCGGCAAAGAGUGAUAAUUUGGUUUCCUCAUUGCCUAUUCUUAUUCCUUUAAUCUCUUUCUCAGCUCUUAUGGCUAAAGCUAGCGUUUCUAAUACAAUAUUAAAUAGUAACAGUGAUAGUGGGCAACCUUGUUUCACUCCAGAUCUUAUUGGGAAUGGUUGCAGUUUGUCUCCAUUACAUAUGAUGCUUACUGAUGGUUUUAAAUAGAUGCUGCUGAUUAUUUUAAGGAAAAGUCCAUUUAUUCCUAUACUCUCAAGUGUUUUUAGUAGGAAUGGAUGUUGGAUUUUAUCAAAUGCUUUUUCUGCAUCUAUUGAGAUGAUCAUAUGGUUUUUGUUAAUUUGGUUAUUAACAUGGCCAAUUAUAUUGAUAGUUUUCCUAAUAUUGAACCAGCCCUGCAUUCCUGGUAUAAAUCCUACUUGAUCAUAGUGUAUUAUCUUGGAGAUGAUUUUCUGUAGUCUUUUUGCUAAUAUCUUAUUUAAGAUUUUAGCAUCAAUAUUCAUUAGGGAGAUUGGUCUAUAAUUUUCUUUCUCUGUUUUCAGCCUACCUAGUUUAGGUAUCAGUACUAUGUCUGUGUCAUUGAAGAAAUUUGGUAGGACUCCUUCAUUCCCUAUUUUAUCAAAUAAUUUAUAUAGCAUUGGGGCCAAUUGUUCUUUAAAUGUUUGGUAAAAUUCACAUGUAAAUCCAUCUGGCUGGACCACCCAUUUUCAACAUGUAACAUUGGACAAGUUAUUCAACCACUUAAAAGUGGGUUGGCCUGUCUGUGAAUUGUGAUCACAUUUCCCCCUAUACAUUAGUUAUAUUAUGAAAGUACUGGGAUUAACAAGAAAUUUAUUAAGACGCUUGAGCUCCCUAAAAGAGAUAGGGUAUAUUCAAGUGUCAUUACUUAUCUCAAUAUUUGCCAAGUGCUCUGCAGUAAUUUAUGAGUUAUUCCUGGCACUGGAACUGGAUGAUUUUGCACUUUCCUGAAGCUAGUCUCCUUCCAUAUAUUAUAGGUUAUUUAUCAUCAGAGGAAAUCUCUAGCCCUAUUGUUUCCAGGAGCACAUUUAAGUCAGUAGUGGAAAUUUAUAGAAAGCUAUAACACACAAAGGGAACCCUUUCUUUUUUGAGUGAAUUACAUAAAAAAUAAAGAUUACAAAAAUAUUCCUAGCAGAAAAAUUUAAAAAAUUACACAGUGAUGGAUAUUUCCUAAAAUCUAAAAAUCUUGUUACUUGUGUACAAAAGAAAUUUGUCAGAACCUGAUUUUUUUUUCUUUAACCAAUAAUUCAUCUCCCCUCCAAAUCUCUCAUAGAAAUUAACAAAAAUUAAAAAGUGACGGAUUAAAUGACAUUGUUCAAAGCUGCAGGGAUACUAAAUUGUUAAAAUAAUACAAUAAGAAGAAUUGUUUGUUUGAAUCUAUCGCACAUGCCCAAGACAACUCUUCAAAUUUCUUUCCACUCUAAGUAAGAUGACUAGUGUUUUCCAACUAUGCUUAAUGAGGGCCAGUAUACUCAAUGAAGCAAUAGUGGAAGGAACACAAUAAAAUUAUUGAAAGAAUGAUCUUCCUAUUACCUGACCAGUUAGAGCAUUCUCAAAAUUUGCUCUCAUUAUUUCCCCUGUCCUCCUGAAAUGAGAUCAUCAGGGAGAAUGCCUUAUUUUCAUCACGUUUGGAAGGUGAGGACACUGAUGUAAUGCUAAAUAUAAUAGGAUCCAAUUAGAGUGAAAGGAGAAUUCUUACUGGAUUGCUAUCUUGAAAUAACUCAAGCGAUGUCAUGUAGGGAGGAAUUAGAAUUACAUCCACAACAUCCAGCCAAUGGGUGGAAGUUAUGGAUUGGCAGAUUUCAUUUCAAUAUAAGGGAGAAAUUGCUAACAAUUAGAGCUGGUCAAUAAUAAAUAGAUCUAGUUCAUAAAGCAAUAAGUUUCUUGUGCCUUGUGAAUGAAUGAAAAAAUGUUGAGUGCUUGUUCUGCACAGAAUGCUACACAAAUCAAAGAGGAUACAAGAAGAAAACAAUUCCUUGCUCUCUAGGAGCUCACUAUCAACUGGGGAAAGACAACAAAUUGUUCAGUAAAUUCAAAAGGCAAAUGACUCUUUCUUGUAAAAGGUUCUAAGCUAAAAAGCUGUAAAUAGAGUUUGUGCAUUAAGCGUUUCAUUCUGGUGUUAAAUGACAGAAGAUAUCAUCUAAUUUUAAAGUUCUAUAGCUUUAAUGACACUUUUUGUCUAAUUUUCAUAAGUUAUUUUAUCCCAAAUGGAGGUGAUAGCUAAUUAUCUAGUUGAGGAAUGCAUACAUGAUCUUUAUCAAUAGCCUUCUGGAAGAGUCUUGAAUCACCUCAUUGUUGAAAAGAACCAAGUCCAUCAAAGGUGAUCGUCAUUUAAUCUUAUUUUUAUUAUGUGUAACGUUCUCUUGGUUCUAUUCACUUUGCUUAGCAAAAGUUAAUGUAAGUCUUUCCAGACUUUUCUGAAAUCAUUUUGCUGAUCAUUUCUUAUAAAACAAUAAUACUCCAUUACAUCCAUAUAUAAUAAUUUAUUCAGCCCUUCCCCAACUGAUAGGCAUCCAUACAGUUUCCAGUUUUUUGCCUCUACAAAGAGGGCUGCCACAAACAUUUUUGUAUAUAUGGGUCCCUUUCCCUCCUUUAUGAUCUCUUUGGGAUACAGACCCAGUAGAGAAACUGCUAGAUCAAAGGGUAUGCUUAAUUUUAUAACCCCUUUGGCAAAAUUCCAAAUUGCUCUCCAGAACUGUUCAAUCAGUUCACAACUGAAAAUUGUAUGUUCAUGUCCUUUAACCAUUUUUUAGUGAAUGGCAUGAAUUCUUAUGAAUUUGAGUCAAUUCUCAAUAUAUUUUAGAAAUGAGGCCUUUAUCAGAAACAGUAAAUUUAAAAUUUUCCUCAACUUUCUUCUUCCCUUCUUAUUGUGACUGCACUGGUUUUCUUUGUACAAAACUUUUAUUUUUAAUUUAACACAAUCAAAAUUGUCCACUUUGCAUUUCACAGUGUUCUCUGGUUAUUCUUUGGCUAUAAAUUCCUCCCUUCCCCACAGAUCUGAGAAAUAGACUAUCCCUUGUCCUCCUAAUUUGCUUAAUUGUAACAUCCUUUAUGUUUCAAUCAUGACCCCUUUUAACCUUAUCUUGGUAUAGGGUGUUAAGUGUUGGUUAAUGCCUAGUUUCUACCAAACUAUUAUCCAAUUUCCCCAGCAAUUUUUGUCAAAUAGUGAGGUGGUAUCCCAGAAUCUAGACUCUUUAAGUUUAUCAAACACUAGAUUAUCAGUCAAUGACUAUUGUGUCUUGUAAACUUAAUCUAUUCCACUGAUCUAUUACUCAAUUUCUUAGCCAACACCAAAUAAUUUUGAUGACUGUUGCUUUCUAAUAUAGUUUUGGGUUUUGUUACAGCUAGGCUACCUUUAUUUGCAUUUUUCAUUAACUCUCUUAAAAUUCUUGACCUUUCGUCCUUCCAAAUGAAUUGUUGUUGUUUUUUCUAGCUCUAUAAUUUCUUGGCAUUUUGAUAUGGCACUGAAUAAGUAGAUUAAUUUAGGAAGAAAUGUCAUUUUUAUUAUUUUAGAUCAUCCUAACCAUGAGCAUAUGGCAUUCUUCCAAUUGUUUACAUCUAACUUUAUUUGUAUGGAAAGUGGUUUGCAAUUGUGUUCAUAAAGUUCCCGGGUUUUUCUUAGCAGACAGACUUCCAAAUAUUUUAUAUUAUCUACAAUUAUCUUAAAUGGAUUUUUUUCUAUUUCUUGCCAUUGAACUCUAUUGGUAACAUACAGAAAAGCUGAUGUUUUAUGUGAGUUUAUAUUCUAUCCUGCAACUUUGCUAAAGUUGUUAAUUGUUUCGAAUAGUUUUUAGUUGAAUCUCUAGGAUUCUUAAUCAUUUUCAGGUGACACAUUGACUCACAGGUAGUCUAUUAUUCUCUGCUUUUCUAAGUUGGGGUAUGCCAGCAAAGAGGCAAAAGUCAAAUAGAAAGAUGCAGCCUAGUGAUGAUAUUCAAUGUGCUAAAGGACC
rnacentral:lncRNA from 1 species